UGUUCUGUGGCUUAGUUGGUUAAAGCGCCGGACUAGCGAUACCGAGUCGUGGGUUCGAAUCCCACCAAAAUAA
rfam:Aedes albopictus isolate Foshan contig92692, whole genome shotgun sequence.